UACGUAGGGGGCAAGCGUUAUCCGGAUUUAUUGGGCGUAAAGGGAACGCAGGCGGUCUGUUAAGUAAGCGGUCAAAGCCCGGGGCUCAACCCCGGCCCGCCGUUGAAACUGGCUGGCUUGAGUUGGGGAAAGGCAGGCGGAAUGCGCGGUGUAGCGGUGAAAUGCAUAGAUAUCGCGCAGAACCCCGAUUGCGAAGGCAGCCUGCCGGCCCCACACUGACGCUGAGGCACGAAAGCGUGGGUAUCGAACAGG
rnacentral:rRNA from 1 species